UGCCAAAUAACUGCCAUAAAUGCCCUCCAUUAGUAACUUUUCUGGUUAGAACCCAAAACUGCCAUUUGACUUAUCGGUGUGUGUUAACCAUAUGCAUUAUUAGCAACUUUUCCAAUAGGUUUCAUAAGCUAUUUCAGUGUAUUCCUUUUUUUACUUCACAAUAUUAGCAGCUAAGCUCAGCCUCAGGAGCUGUGAUAGAAUGACACAAUAUCAUAGUGUUUGUAGCAGAUGUCGCGGCCCUAGAAGGGCUGAAAAUAGGAAGUUAAAGAAGUCCAUUUAAGCAUUUAAAGUUUAAAUAGUGAAAAUCAAUCAAAUUUGCUGAAAUUAACCUUAUUUGAUUUACCGCAGACUGACUGAACCGGCAUUCGUCAUUACGCUCUUAGUGAUGUCGACUCUUUACCCGGCGGUCACUACCAUACCUACGCUUUGUAUGCAGCACAUGUAGCACUAGCAGAUUGAUGCUACGCAGUACAAGCAGUGUCUUCAUGGGUGGCAGUCGACAGAUCGGUUGGAUUGUCUCAGAACUUUCACAGAGGUGUAAAGAUUAAUGCAAAAAUUCACACUGAAGAAUACUUCAUCAUCGGACUGUCUGUGCUUUUAUUCACGCCUCCUCAAUCAGGACUAGGCAUCAGUAUCCAACAUAAUGCUGAGCCUCUCUCACACACUCACUGUACACACACAAAGACUCAUCAAGGACAUAGAAUACUUCUGUCGAGUUGAUAAAGACUUUGUCAUUGAGAGUGAACCAUAGUAACCUCGUCAACAGAACUUUUCUUUGGUUUACGAAACAGAAGCCCAUUCACUUUUUGUCUUCUUCUGUCGCCCACAUCAUUCAGUGCUUCUUUAAAAGCUGAAAGAAACUGCCAACAGCAACAUGAGAGCGCUAUGAACUCAGAGACAUGGAGCUUUGUUCUGGGAGGGGCGGGCUGUAAAUAUUGGGGCGUGGACUGGUAACAACACAGCCAACAGAACAAUAAACUCACCUGUCAAUGACACAGGACAUACAGCACAUUAAUAUAACACACCACUCUCAACCACGAAGGAGAGGUACGUUUAAGCCCCCCUGAAUAUUAACAAAAAGCUUAAACUGACGAUUAAAGCUGCAAGCAGCACACGUGAUGUGUUCAGGGUGGGUUUCUUAUCAAACAUCUAAAGUUCGGUGCUGAGAAAGUACACUGAAGUAAUCACAACUUCCUGUUUCAUAGCAAAAUGUAAAAAUUUCGAUGCAAAGCCACAGAUACAAACUUUAGAUUGCACUGAGCGGAUUUAAAAUCAAUCUAAUCGUUUCUCUAAGAGUUUGUUGAAGCAAACACUUAUUGUAUCGGCCAGUUUAUCCAACCGAGGGUCUGUCACACUCUAACACACUCAUUCAGACUAUAAAACAAAAGGCAGCCUAAUAACAGCAGCUUCGUUUGUUGCAUUUGGUUUAGCCAUAAGAACCUUGAUCACAGCUGUUGGCAUUUAACAC
rnacentral:lncRNA from 1 species